rnacentral:rRNA from 1 species
UUGACGGUACCCACAGAGGAAGCACCGGCUAACUCCGUGCCAGCAGCCGCGGUAAUACGGAGGGUGCAAGCGUUGUCCGGAAUCAUUGGGCGUAAAGAGUUCGUAGGCGGCAUGUUAAGUCUGGUGUUAAAGCCCGAAGCUCAACUUCGGUACUGCACCGGAUACUGGCAAGCUAGAAUGCAGUAGAGGUAAGGGGAAUUCCUGGUGUAGCGGUGAAAUGCGUAGAUAUCAGGAGGAACAUCGGUGGCGAAAGCGCCUUACCGGGCUGUUAUUGACGCUGAGGAACGAAAGCCGGGGUAGCAAAUGGGAUUAGAUACCCCAGUAGUCCCGGCCGUAAACGAUGGAUACUAGGUGUUGCGGGUAUCGACCCCUGCAGUGCCGCAGUUAACGCGUUAAGUAUCCCGCCUGGGGAGUACGCACGCAAGUGUGAAACUCAAAGGAAUUGACGGGGACCCGCACAAGCGGUGGAACAUGUGGUUUAAUUCGAAGCAACGCGAAGAACCUUACCAGGGCUUGACAUCUGAAGAAUCUUGUGGAAACACAAGAGUGCCUUCGGGAGCUUCAAGACAGGUGGUGCACGGUUGUCGUCAGCUCGUGUCGUGAGAUGUUGGGUUAAGUCCCGCAACGAGCGCAACCCUCGUGGUUAGUUGCAUUCAACGGUAUACUGUUGAAUUGCUCUCUAGCCAGACUGCCGGUGAUAAACCGGAGGAAGGUGGGGACGACGUCAAAUCAUCAUGCCCCUUAUGCUCUGGGCUACACACGUGUUACAAUGGCCGGUACAACGAGUCGCCAACUCGCAAGAGUGAGCAAAUCUCUUAAAGCCGGUCUCAGUUCGGAUUGGACUCUGCAA